CCUACGGGAGGCAGCAGUGAGGAAUAUUGGUCAAUGGUCGGGAGACUGAACCAGCCAAGCCGCGUGAGGGAUGAGGGUACAGAGUAUCGUAAACCUCUUUUGUCAGGGAACAAAGGCGGGGACGUGUCCCCGGAUGAGUGUACCUGAAGAAAAAGCAUCGGCUAACUCCGUGCCAGCAGCCGCGGUAAUACGGAGGAUGCGAGCGUUAUCCGGAUUUAUUGGGUUUAAAGGGUGCGCAGGCGGUCUGUUAAGUCAGCGGUCAAAGCCCGGGGCUCAACCCCGGCCCGCCGUUGAAACUGGCAGUCGCGAGUUGGAGAGAAGUAUGCGGAAUGCGCGGUGUAGCGGUGAAAUGCAUAGAGAUCGCGCAGAACUCCGAUUGCGAAGGCAGCAUGCCGGCUCCACACUGACGCUGAGGCACGAAAGCGUGGGUAUCGAACAGGAUUAGAUACCCCUGUAGUC
rnacentral:rRNA from 1 species